rnacentral:rRNA from 1 species
AGAGCGAACGCUGGCGGCAGGCCUAAUACAUGCAAGUCGAACGGAUCCUUCGGUAUUAGUGGCGGACGGGUGAGUAACACGUGGGAACGUACCCUUUGGUUCGGAACAACUCAGGGAAACUUGAGCUAAUACCGAAUGUGCCCUUCGGGGAAAAGAUUUAUCGCCAUUGGAGCGGCCCGCGUCUGAUUAGCUAGUUGGUAGGGUAAAGGCCUACCAAGGCUACGAUCAGUAGCUGGUCUGAGAGGAUGAUCAGCCACACUGGGACUGAGACACGGCCCAGACUCCUACGGGAGGCAGCAGUAGGGAAUCUUGCGCAAUGGGCGAAAGCCUGACGCAGCCAUGCCGCGUGAAUGAUGAAGGUCUUAGGAUUGUAAAAUUCUUUCAGCGGGGACGAUAAUGACGGUACCGCAGAAGAAGCCCGGCUAACUUCGUGCCAGCAGCCGC